UACAGAGGGUGCAAGCGUUGUUCGGAAUUACUGGGCGUAAAGGGCGCGUAGGCGGCGCGACAAGUCACUUGUGAAAUCUCCGGGCUUAACUCGGAACGGCCAAGUGAAACUGUCAAGCUAGAGUGCGGAAGGGGCAAUCGGAAUUCUUGGUGUAGCGGUGAAAUGCGUAGAUAUCAAGAGGAACACCUGAGGUGAAGACGGGUUGCUGGGCCGACACUGACGCUGAUGCGCGAAAGCCAGGGGAGCAAACGGG
rnacentral:rRNA from 1 species